rnacentral:rRNA from 1 species
CACUCCUGCGGGAGGCAGCAGUGGGGAAUAUUGGACAAUGGGCGCAAGCCUGAUCCAGCCAUGCCGCGUGAGUGAUGAAGGCCCUAGGGUUGUAAAGCUCUUUUGUGCGGGAAGAUAAUGACGGUACCGCAAGAAUAAGCCCCGGCUAACUUCGUGCCAGCAGCCGCGGUAAUACGAAGGGGGCUAGGGUUGCUCGGAAUCACUGGGCGUAAAGGGUGCGUAGGCGGGUCUUUAAGUCAGGGGUGAAAUCCUGGAGCUCAACUCCAGAACUGCCUUUGAUACUGAAGAUCUUGAGUUCGGGAGAGGUGAGUGGAACUGCGAGUGUAGAGGUGAAAUUCGUAGAUAUUCGCAAGAACACCAGUGGCGAAGGCGGCUCACUGGCCCGAUACUGACGCUGAGGCACGAAAGCGUGGGGAGCAAACAGGAUUAGAUACCCGAGUAGUCCC